rnacentral:rRNA from 1 species
AGAGUUUGAUCCUGGCUCAGGACGAACGCUGGCGGCGUGCCUAACACAUGCAAGUCGAACGAAGCUUUGAGGAGCUUGCUUUUUAAAGCUUAGUGGCGGACGGGUGAGUAACGCGUGAGCAACCUGCCUCUCAGAGGGGGAUAACGUUUUGAAAAGAACGCUAAUACCGCAUAAUAUAUCGGAACCGCAUGAUUCUGAUAUCAAAGGAGCAAUCCGCUGAGAGAUGGGCUCGCGUCCGAUUAGUUAGUUGGUGAGGUAACGGCUCACCAAGACUACGAUCGGUAGCCGGACUGAGAGGUUGAUCGGCCACAUUGGGACUGAGACACGGCCCAGACUCCUACGGGAGGCAGCAGUGGGGGAUAUUGCGCAAUGGGGGAAACCCUGACGCAGCAACGCCGCGUGAAGGAAGAAGGUCUUCGGAUUGUAAACUUCUUUUGUCAGGGACGAAGAAAGUGACGGUACCUGACGAAUAAGCUCCGGCUAACUACGUGCCAGCAGCCGCGGUAAUACGUAGGGAGCGAGCGUUGUCCGGAUUUACUGGGUGUAAAGGGUGCGUAGGCGGCCGAGCAAGUCAGUUGUGAAAACUAUGGGCUUAACCCAUAACGUGCAAUUGAAACUGUCCGGCUUGAGUGAAGUAGAGGUAGGCGGAAUUCCCGGUGUAGCGGUGAAAUGCGUAGAGAUCGGGAGGAACACCAGUGGCGAAGGCGGCCUACUGGGCUUUAACUGACGCUGAGGCACGAAAGCAUGGGUAGCAAACAGGAUUAGAUACCCUGGUAGUCCAUGCCGUAAACGAUGAUUACUAGGUGUGGGGGGACUGACCCCUUCCGUGCCGCAGUUAACACAAUAAGUAAUCCACCUGGGGAGUACGGCCGCAAGGUUGAAACUCAAAGGAAUUGACGGGGGCCCGCACAAGCA